GUCUUUUUGUAAUAUAUAUAAAGUCUAACCUGCCCAUUGAUAAUUUAAAAGGCUGCGGUAUUUUGACCGUACAAAGGUAGCAUAGUCAUUAGUUUUUUAAUUGGAAACUUGUAUGAAUGGUUGAAUGAAAUAUUAACUAUUUUAAUUUAAAAAUUUGAAUUUUACUUUUUCAUUAAAAGGUUAAAAUAAAUUUAAAAGACGAGAAGACCCUAUAGAGUUUUAUAAUUAAUGGUAUAUUAUUAAAUAGGAUUAAUUAAUUAAAUUAUUUAUAAUUAAUUAUUUUGUUGGGGUGAUAAUAAAAUUUAAUAAACUUUUAUAAAUUAUUCCAUUAAUAAAUGUAUUAAUUGAUCCAUUAUUAAUGAUUAAAAAUUUAAAUUACCUUAGGGAUAACAGCGUAAUUUUUUUUUAAGUUCAUAUUAAUAAAAAAUUUUGCGACCUCGAUGUUGGAUUAAGAUUUAAUUUUAGGUGCAGCAGUUUAAAAUUUAAGUCUGUUCGACUUUUAAAUUCUU
rnacentral:rRNA from 1 species